rnacentral:rRNA from 1 species
GACGAACGCUGGCGGCGUGCUUAACACAUGCAAGUCGAACGGAAAGGCCCUGCUUUUGUGGGGUGCUCGAGUGGCGAACGGGUGAGUAACACGUGAGUAACCUGCCCUUGACUUUGGGAUAACUUCAGGAAACUGGGGCUAAUACCGGAUAGGAGCUCCUGCUGCAUGGUGGGGGUUGGAAAGUUUCGGCGGUUGGGGAUGGACUCGCGGCUUAUCAGCUUGUUGGUGGGGUAGUGGCUUACCAAGGCUUUGACGGGUAGCCGGCCCGAGAGGGUGGCCGGCGGCAUUGGGACUGGGGUACGGCGGAGACUCCUACGGGAGGCAGCAGUGGGGAAUAUUGCACAAUGGGCGGAAGCCGGAUGCAGCAACGCCGCGUGCGGGAUGACGGCCUUCGGGUUGUAAACCGCUUUCGCCUGUGACGAAGCGUGAGUGACGGUAAUGGGUAAAGAAGCACCGGCUAACUACGUG